rnacentral:rRNA from 1 species
UACGGAGGAUGCAAGCGUUAUCCGGAUUUAUUGGGCGUAAAGCGUCCGCAGGUGGUUGAGCAAGUCUGCCGUCAAAGCGUGGAGCUUAACUCCAUACCGGCGGUGGAAACUGCUCGACUAGAGUGUGGCAGGGGUAGCGGGAAUUCCCAGUGUAGCGGUGAAAUGCGUAGAUAUUGGGAAGAACACCGGCGGCGAAAGCGCGCUACUGGGCCAAUACUGACACUGAGGGACGAAAGCCAGGGGAG